AGAUCCUAGCCCAGACUAAAUUAAUUAAACCAUAUAAACCUUGUAAACUAAAACAUUUACUUCAACUUAAAAGUAUAGGAGAUAGAAAUUUAUACCGGCGCUAUAGACAAAGUACCGCAAGGGAAAGAUGAAAGAUACCUCAAAGUAUAAAAAAGCAAAGAUACCCCCUUUUACCUUUUGCAUAAUGAAUUAGCUAGAAUAACUUCACAAAGAGAACUACAGUCAAGAACCCCGAACCCAGACGAGCUACUUGUGAAUAGCCAUAAGAGCACACUCAUCUAUGUUGCAAAAUAGUGAGAAAAUUUACAAGUAGAGGUGAAAAGCCUACCGAGCCUGGCGAUAGCUGGUUGUCCAGAAUAGAAUAUUAGUUCAACUUUAAGCUUACCUACAGAACAAAUAAUCCCAAUGUAAACUUAAAUGUUAAUCUAAAGAGGGACAGCUCUUUAGAACAUGGAAAUAACCUUACUUAGAGAGUAACCAAAAUCUUCUUCCAUGGUUGGCUUAAAAGCAGCCACCUAUUAAGAAAGCGUUCAAGCUCAACUCUACCUAACAUAUCUUAAUCCCAAUAACCCAAGCACAACUCCUACAGUUACACUGGACUAAUCUAUAAAAUUAUAGAAGGACUACUACUAAUAUAAGUAACAAGAAAAUAUUCUCCCCGCAUAAGCUUAUAUCAGACCGGAUACACCACUGAUAGUUAACAAUCCAAUACUUACAACUACAAAUACACAAUCUAUUACCCCCAUUGUUAACCCAACACAGGCAUGCGCCCCCUUAAGGAAAGAUUAAAAGAAGUAGAAGGAACUCGGCAAA
rnacentral:rRNA from 1 species